CACCCGUUCCCAUUCCGAACACGGCCG
rnacentral:rRNA from 1 species